AGUACUAUACUUUAAGGUAAAAGGUUAGAUUUGCAUUCUGAAAAUGGGAAAUCAUUCUCUAGUGCU
rnacentral:tRNA from 1 species